CCUGAGAAACCCAAAAGAUGGAAUGGGGAGAUUCAUCGUCAGCGAGCCCGGCACGUGUGCGGUUCGUGAUGCCGGAGACCACGGUCUCUCGGCACGCGUCCGCAUGGGUUUUAUGCCGGGCUUGUCGGCGUGCACUUCUCCCCUAGUAGGACGUCGCGACCCGUUGGGUGUCGGUCUACGGNCCGGGUGGGCGCCUGUCAUGUGCUCAGCUUCACGGCUCCAUGUGGCAGACCCCCGGUUGUCUGACCAGCUGCCCGGCGGUACUCGCACGGUAUCGAGCCGCAAACUUUUGAACGUGCGUCCGGCCCGCCGCAAGCGAGGCCAGUGUUUCCCGGAUGUACGGACCUAGCGCCGUCACCGGGCCUGGCCGGCUGUUGGCUGGCGGUGUCCUGGGACUGGCUCUUCAUUAUGAUACCGGUCGGCGACGCUACUGCUUUGGGUACUUUCAGGACCCGUCUUGAACACGGACCARGGAGUCUAACAUGUGCGCGAGUCAUUGGGAAUUUUCUAUUAAGCCUAAAGGCUCAAUUAAAGUGAAGGUCGGCCUUGCGCCGACCGAGGGAGGAUGGNNNNNNNNNUACGAUGCGGUCCCGACUNNCCGGGGCGUCUCGUUC
rnacentral:rRNA from 1 species